rnacentral:rRNA from 1 species
CAGUCGCCGCGGGAAUACGUAGGGGGCAAGCGUUAUCCGGAAUUACUGGGUGUAAAGGGAGCGUAGACGGUUAAACAAGUCUGAAGUGAAAUGCCGGGGCUCAACCCCGGAGCUGCUUUGGGAACUGUAGAACUGGAGUGUCGGAGGGGUAAGCGGAAUUCCCAGUGUGGCGGUGAAAUGCGUAGAUAUUGGGAGGAACACCGGCGGCGAAGGCGGCUUACUGGACGACAACUGACGUUGAGGCUCGAAGGCGUGGGUAGCAGACAGGAUUAGAUACCCCUGUAGUCCCUGUCUCUUAUAC